rnacentral:rRNA from 1 species
GAAGGUGGCUAGCGUUGUUCGGUGUCACUGGGCUUAAAGAGUAUGUAGGCGGAAAAGUAAGCGUUUUGUGAAAUCCCUCGGCUUAACCGAGGAAUCGCUUAGCGAACUACUUUUCUUGAGGCAAGUAGGGGUGCAUGGAACUCUUGGUGGAGCGGUGGAAUGCGUAGAUAUCAAGAGGAACGCCAAUGGAGAAAUCAGUGCACUGGGCUUGUCCUGACGCUGAGAUACGAAAGCGUGGGGAGCGAACGGGGGAUUAGAUACCCCGGUAGUCCACGCCGUAAACGAUGUCUACUAGGUUGCGGGAGUUCUGACACUAUCGCGACCGAAGCAAGAGUGUUAAGUAGACCGCCUGGGGGAGUACGGCCGCAAGGCUA